rnacentral:rRNA from 1 species
AACCUGGUUGAUCCUGCCAGUAGUCAUAUGCUUGUCUCAAAGACUAAGCCAUGCAUGUCUAAGUAUAAAUGCUAUACAAUGAAACUGCGAAUGGCUCAUUAAAACAGUUAUACGUUUAUUUGGUAAUCGAAUUUACAUGGAUAACCGUGGUAAUUCUAGAGCUAAUACAUGCUACUAAGCCUGACUUCUUGAAAGGCCGUAUUUAUUAGAUAACAGACCAAUAUUCCUCGUGUCUAUUGUGGUGAAUCAUAGUAAC